CGAAGCUUUCAUCCAUCUGGUGUCUUAAAGCAGCCAUUCCUUCAGAUAGACAGGAAGUUAGGUGAGAGCUACUUAAGAAAGAGCAUCAGCAAAAAGGCAGCUGAACCCCACAGUUCAGACAGCUGUUUAAAAAACGGAUGUGUUUGCACUUAGGUGGUCUUGUUAAAACAUCCGAGUAAUAAACGGUUUUCUCUAACAAUUACAUUGCAGGGUUGAGUGUAGCGCAACAUGAGAAGCAGAUUCAAACCAACAUGGACUUGAGGAAGGACGAAGAACAGGAGGACUUUGAAGAACCAGAGCCAGGAGCCGAGAGACCAGUCCUUCCCCUUCAGAAGAGCCCAAGAGUGGAAUCUGGAUCUGGUAUGAGACAAAUCAGAAGAGAAGCUGAGUUGAUGUGCUGUGAGAGAACGCCCCCUUGUUUGUGAGGGAAGAACAGCAGCGGCUUGUUCACCGUUGGAGAGGG
rnacentral:lncRNA from 1 species